CCGCGCCGCGCCGCUGCAGCCUUGUGGGAAAUGUAGUCCGUCGCCCGGGGCGUACGCGCCGGGGAGGGCUGCGUCCGCACCGGUUGCUCCCGCUCCUGCUGGGAGAGGCUCUGCUUCCUCUGGAUCCUGCCCAUCCCCUAGAAGGAUGGCACAGGAAGGAAAGAGAAGGUGAUGGCUAUUGGGCCUCUGCCCUUGGCAGCUAAGUUUCAGGAGUCAGUGACCAUCAGGGAUGUGUCUGUGGAUUGCACUUGGGAGGAGUGGAUUUGUCUGGAUUCUGCUCAGAGGAACUUGUAUGGGACAGUGAUGCUACAGAACUACAGUGACUUGGUUUCACUGGGUCAUUGUUUUAGGAUGGUUGCUUGGUGUACUCUCUGGACAUGGAAUGGAAAAUGGAAUCUUCAGAAGACCGGAUGGGGAAGGGACAAGGACAGCUGGAACUUGCAGAACUGAGCUGGAUGACAAAUGGACUUAGAGCGUGCCUCUCCAGGUACACAUCAGGCUGCAGGGACUUGUUACUGAGUGUGUACCCACGGAAAUCCCCACGGAGCUCCCUCGGUCUCCUGGAGUGACAGCAACCCUGCCUGCCGUUUAUUCCCUCAAAGGUCUCUGCAUUCCUCAUGUCACUCAUCCUUCAUUCGUCUCACAAAAGCCCUCACCAUGGAGGGAAGAGUGUAGGAGGAUCAAAUGAGUACUACAUUUGUAGCACUUACUUAUUGCUGUGAACAUCAGUAAAUGUACCAAUUAUUAUUGCUUUUCUGUCUUUACCUGUAAUUUGAAUCCCAUUCUAUCUUCUUCCACUUUAUAUUCUCUUUCCUCUGUUUCAGGAGUCUUUCUUCUCAGCCGUAAUCUGUUUCCAUGACUUCUUUCAUUUACAUGUUUGUCAGCUUUCUUAAAGGAAACUGAGAUUUUUUUCCCUGAGUUGCAAACUUGUAUAUGUGUUUUAGUCUUAAUUUGAAAACAAAUGAAGAUGACGUUAGCUUUUCUAUUUUCACUAGUAACCUGACGUUCUAUACAUUCCCUUUCUCAUUCCUCAGGUUUCAAUCUGGAUUCCAUUCUCCUCUAAACAUUUAAUGUCUUUUUUAGUCUUUGUUAAUUGGUUUCUAAUCCCCCUUAGAAAUGAAAUUUCUGUUAGAGGUUAUCACUGACUUUCUUCUGGAAAGAAAAAAAAAUUUUUAGUCUUUUAUACUCUAUUCAAUAUGAAAGCAUUUCUUCUUAUACAUUUUUUUUAAAUUAAAGG